rnacentral:rRNA from 1 species
UACAGAGGUCUCAAGCGUUGUUCGGAUUCAUUGGGCGUAAAGGGUGCGUAGGCGGCGCGGUAAGUCGGGUGUGAAAUCUUGGAGCUUAACUCCGAAACUGCAUUCGAUACUGCCGUGCUUGAGGACUGGAGAGGAGACUGGAAUUUACGGUGUAGCGGUGAAAUGCGUAGAUAUCGGAAGGAACACCAAUGGCGAAGGCAGCUUCCUGGCCCAAUACUGACGCUCAGGUGCGAAAGCGUGGGGAUCAAACAGG